GAAAUGCGACAAGUAAUGUGAAUUGCAGAAUUCCGUGAAUCAUCGAAUCUUUGAACGCACAUUGCGCCCUCUGGUAUUCCGGGGGGCAUGCCUGUCCGAGCGUCAUUGCGAACCCCUCAAGCACGGCUUGUGUGAUGGGCCCUCCCGCGUCUUGGUCGUCAAGACGGGCCCGAAAUGCAGUGGCGGCUUCGCGGUUAUCCGAUCAGCCAGAGCGUAUGGGGACUUUCUCUCUGUCACACGCCCGCGGCGCGGACCGACGCCUGUCGACCUUUAUUCAUCUUUUUCUCGGUUGACCUCGGAUCAGGUAGGGAUACCCGCUGAACUUAAGC
rnacentral:misc_RNA from 1 species